CUUAGCUUGCCAAGGGGCUCUGGCUGGUCGUGGUUAUCAGGAGAGCAGGCUGGAGAAAGAGAGAAGGCAGCUUCCACUGUGGUGUUCCACAGUGUUUUAUUUUGAGGGAUUUGCGAAGGGUCUGAUGGCAGCUCUUCUAACAAAAUGGGCCAAGACAGCCCCUUUUAUAGGGUUAGGGGGGCUUGGAAACUGACCAGUUGUAAGGGUUAGGGAAACUAGCCUGUGGGGUCACAAAAAGAUAAACAGGCCUGGAGGACCGGAGUGAAGACUUCUGGUUCAAUUCCUAUGACUUGACAUUUCCUUAUCUCUAAACCAUUGUUCUCCACGGGGCUGUAGCUGGCCCUGUGUCUGCUACACCCAUGGUCUGUUGAUGGUCUUUCUCUUCCCCUAGACGUGGUGAAGCUGCCGUCCAGAAGGCGCAGGUCAGCCCUUGCCACAUGCUCUCCAUCUUCACCAGAGCCACCAGAGCCCAGCGUUGGUGGGAACACCCCCAGCAUACUGCUGUCACCGGUGCUGCAGUGUACUAAGGACGAGCCAGAAAGUCCUGGUGGGGAACACAUUGCUGGAGUGCCACCCACACCCCCUGCCAUGCCACGUAAGGCUUUCCUUGCCCUGCUCAGCCCAGUAAACCCCCUCAGCCCCACAAGCAGGGUCUGAUAUGGUUCUCAUUGCAGACACCAGUUGCUGCGUCUCUCCUCUCUCCCUCCUGGGUGAGUACCAUGCCCCAGUUAUCAUUCUUGUGUGCCCUGGCACAAGAGGUGGCUGCAGCUCACAGGCUGCGUCUGCUCUCCUUCCAGGCUGUCACGCUGACCUGAAGCAGGAAGGAGCUGAGGGAAAGGCCAAUUUUUCUGGUGAGACAUCCCUGGGGACGGGAAGAGGAAGCCAAGUGCUGCCACUGGCUGCUGCAGCCACAGGCUCCCACGGGACAGCAGUCAUGAGUGAGCAGCCAGCAGCAGCUGAAGAUGCAUCAGACGCAAGUCUGCAUGGGUCUGGCAUGGCAGGCUUGCUCCAGAAUGUCCAGCAACUGCUGGUGCAGAUCCUGCAGACAUCGUGGCAGCAGCAGGCACUACUGGAGAGCCUGGCCAGAGACACCGUCUCCCACCUCCACCUCCUCUCCCACAGCCUUGUGCAGAUGGGCGAGACCCUGCAACAACUCCUGCUCCAGCCACAGACCUAUCCUCACCCCCUUGGCCACUGUGUCCCCCACAUGCCCCUUUUUGAGGGUGGCUCCAGAGUGCCCUGCUCCCCUGGUACUCCUCACACUUCCCUGGAUCACAAAGAGGAGCCUCAGCUGUCCUCUGAUGCCAGGUGCAUCUCCCCCUGAGUGGCACCAUCGCUGGCCCCAGGAGGAACAGCUUUGGUACAGAGCCAUGGCACAAAUCUUUAUAUCAGAGGUUCCAGAUAUUUUGAAAGUUUAUACUAGAGAGACAUUUAAUAAAAUUAAAAAUAGCUUUUCU
rnacentral:lncRNA from 1 species